rnacentral:rRNA from 1 species
UACGAAGGGGGCUAGCGUUGCUCGGAAUCACUGGGCGUAAAGCGCACGUAGGCGGAUUGCUAAGUCAGGGGUGAAAUCCUGGAGCUCAACUCCAGAACUGCCUUUGAUGCUGGCGAUCUUGAGUCCGGGAGAGGUGAGUGGAACUGCGAGUGUAGAGGUGAAAUUCGUAGAUAUUCGCAAGAACACCAGUGGCGAAGGCGGCUCACUGGCCCGGUACUGACGCUGAGGUGCGAAAGCGUGGGGAGCAAACAGG